rnacentral:rRNA from 1 species
AUUGAACGCUGGCGGCAUGCUUUACACAUGCAAGUCGAACGGUAACAGGGAGCUUGCUCCGCUGACGAGUGGCGAACGGGUGAGUAAUGCAUCGGAACGUACCGUGUAAUGGGGGGAUAACGUAGCGAAAGUUACGCUAAUACCGCAUACGCCCUGAGGGGGAAAGCGGGGGAUCGUAAGACCUCGCGUUAUACGAGCGGCCGAUGUCGGAUUAGCUAGUUGGUGGGGUAAAGGCCUACCAAGGCGACGAUCCGUAGCGGGUCUGAGAGGAUGAUCCGCCACACUGGGACUGAGACACGGCCCAGACUCCUACGGGAGGCAGCAGUGGGGAAUUUUGGACAAUGGGGGCAACCCUGAUCCAGCCAUGCCGCGUGAGUGAAGAAGGCCU